rnacentral:rRNA from 1 species
GCGAAACGGCAGGAGGGCAAACCGAAGUGUUUACACUUCGGGGUUGUAGGACUGCGACGUGGGACUUUAAAAGGAUAGAAGAAUUACCUGGGAAGGUAAGCCAAAGAGAGUAAAAGCCUCGUAUUUAAAAUUCUUUUGAGCCCUAGCAGUAUCCUGAGUACGGCGAGACACGUGAAAUCUCGUUGGAAUCUGGGAGGACCAUCUCCCAACCCUAAAUACUCUCUAGUGACCGAUAGUGAACCAGUACCGUGAGGGAAAGGUGAAAAGCACCCCGGGAGGGGAGUGAAAUAGAACCUGAAACCGUGUGCCUACAACAAGUUCGAGCCCGUUAAUGGGUGAGAGCGUGCCUUUUGUAGAAUGAACCGGCGAGUUACGAUAUGAU